AACGAACGCUGGCGGCAUGCCUAACACAUGCAAGUCGAACGAGACCUUCGGGUCUAGUGGCGCACGGGUGCGUAACGCGUGGGAACCUGCCCUUAUGUUCGGAAUACCUCCCCGAAAGGGGUGCUAAUACCGGAUAAUGUCUUCGGACCAAAGAUUUAUCGCCUUUGGAUGGGCCCGCGUUGGAUUAGCUAGUUGGUAGGGUAAAAGCCUACCAAGGCGACGAUCCAUAGCUGGUCUGAGAGGAUGAUCAGCCACACUGGGACUGAGACACGGCCCAGACUCCUACGGGAGGCAGCAGUGGGGAAUAUUGGACAAUGGGCGAAAGCCUGAUCCAGCAAUGCCGCGUGAGUGAUGAAGGCCUUAGGGUUGUAAAGCUCUUUUACCCGGGAUGAUAAUGACAGUACCGGGAGAAUAAGCUCCGGCUAACUCCGUG
rnacentral:rRNA from 1 species